UUUUGGUCGCCACGUUUGCCGAGCUGUCUCGUUCGCGCAGAAGUUCAACCCAGCGAACACUCCGCUCGGGGUCUAUCACACCCCAUCCCCUCCACUCUCCCACCGCAUCUCGUCGUCGACUUAUCUCUCUCCCCGGCGGUUUUCCGGUGAUGCUGCUGCGGCGGCGGCGGGGGCGGGGGCUCUCUCCGGUGGAUCCUGUGUACGUACCAGCUACGGCCCGUCGCACUGCCGCGGUGGUGCCGCCCCCAUCCCGGAUGACCACAAUGCCGGGUCCUGGAGUUGCCUGCGAUGGGGGCGAGGAUGGUGGAUCUCGGCGGGGAUAGUGGAUACGGGGACAGUGGAGGUGGGGGCGGGGGAUGCCGUGUCGACGGCCAAGAGGAGGCGGUUGGUGGCCGUGCCGUCCUUGAAGACCGCGACGGCGGCGGCAGGGCGGAGGCCGAGGCGCCAUCCAGCGGCUCGCCGUAUUCAUGGCCCCGGUCCACGCCAUGCUCGACAUGACGAGGCCAGAAGAUACCGGCCUAAGCUCAAACAUGAGGAAUAGAGACUUAAUGGCUUGCAGUGAGAUUGGCAGACCUGCUUGUGAGUAAUGUUUUGAUGGUGCUGAGUGACACGGCAGUCAUGUACCUGACGGAGGGAGGCAAGAUGCGCCAUCACCGUGGCGGGAAUGGUUGGUAAUCAACAAUGUCGACAUGGACAUAGCUGCAAAGAUCGACUGCAAUCGUGCCUGAUGCAAAAUAAGCCUUGCUGCAGCUUGGUUCAUAUUGCUUGUUUAGCAGUAUAGAUACUAGAAAUCACAAUCUUGCUAUAGAUCUCAUAGAACUUCUGGACUAUCAGUGUUUUACGACUUGUCUUUUGAUGGAGUAUAAUGUGAAUGAGCUGAAUGACUUGUCUAUAGCAUUCCAUCCAGUCAUUUAAGUUAUCUAUACAUGCUAACACCGAAAAUAAGUGAAAUCCUGACAAUAUAUGGGCUAAACAUGUACAUGAACAUAUAAGAGUAUUAUGAUAUUUAUCAUAGUCACCAGGAAUUCUGCAAGUUGUAUUGUGUAAUGAAUAUGUAAAUACUGAACAAUACUCAAUGUUCAUUACUGCUACAGGCCUAGUCACACACAAAAAGGCUCCACAAAAGUGACUUUACUUUCUUCAGCAAUGACUUGCAAUUGCAAGAUGAUCCUUGCAGCUCUGAGCAGCUCACAAACACUAGCUGAGGUCAGCACAAUGAAAAAGAGCAGUGACUACAAACACAGUGGCAGGAAAAGAAAGCAGAAGAAUGAAUCACGAACAUGGCACUGAUCCUUGGCUUUCUCAAAGGCCGGAAACGCCACCUUGGGAUGCAGCAGAGUACAAUCAACUCAUUUCUUCAGGGCCGUUGCUGCCACUACUAGAGCACUACGCGGGCAUCGAUACGAUGCAUGACAAACAAAGAAGAAACAGUUGCCAUGUUCGUGACAAUGAAGAUGUCAUUCUACUUAUGUCCUACAAUCUAAUUUUUAGCAGGUUCGUAUGACCAAAACACAAUCAGGGGGGCAGCAUGGCAAGUUUCGACACAGGGCGCUAACGCUGACAAAUGUACGGGCAACCAACUUCAGCUAGCUAAUGUGGCAAAUCAAGGACCUUCAUGCAGCACGUGGCAUCAGGCGGCAACCAUGUACCUGCCAUCAACGUCGUACACAGGUUGUUACGGUGGAACCACAUCGGCAAACGUCUUAUGGCAAGCUUCACAGUUGCAGGAAAGAGCUAUUGUAGAUAGAGCACAGACCACACAAGAUCGACACAUGCGGCACAACAAGGACCUUCAACUACAAUUAACAGCGGCACGGGGACAUCUACUGCGGGGAGCUCUGAGUGCAUGGAAGACGCGUUCCACCAGCCAGCCAACACUCAUGCCACAAACAGUGCCGAGUUAGUGUCGAAAAUGGCAAUCGUUCCAGCAAUGCCGACAAGCACACCUUUGCAGACCAGCAUAAGCAACACUCAAGCAGAUGAAACAGCCGCCGAUACUGAAGUGAAUGAUGAAACCGGUGACGAAGCACAAGGGGAUGAAGAUGGUGGGCAAUCAGAAAUCAUAGUACCUCAGGCACCGUAUCUUGGGUAGAGAUUUGAUUCGUUUGAAGAUGCAAAGAAAUUCUACCAGACAUAUACAAAGUUCCAUGGGUUUGCGGUCAACACCGAAUACCAUAGGAAAAUUAAAAAAACUAACGAGUACAGCAGAGGUGAGAUCAGGUGCUACAAGGCACGAAGAAACAAGAAGGGCAAAGGUGAUGCGUCUGUCGUUCCGGAACGAAAGAGAGGUAUCAUUGUCAAGACGGAA